UUGAUAGAGGCGCGGUGUUCAUCAGUACCGCCCGGCAAGGCCAGGCAGCCGCCGGAGAGAAAGGGAACAUCGCCGAAGAACCGCCGCCUUGCCUGACGCGCCGGUUCUGGGCCGCUCGAGAAGAUCGUGCGGACUGUCACAAGUCUUUGUGGAGCGCUAUCG
rnacentral:ncRNA from 1 species